rnacentral:rRNA from 1 species
UACAGAGGGGGCAAGCGUUGUUCGGAAUUACUGGGCGUAAAGGGCUCGUAGGCGGCCAACUAAGUCGGAUGUGAAAUCCCCAGGCUCAACCUGGGAACUGCAUCCGAUACUGGAUGGCUUGAAUUCGGGAGAGGGAUGCAGAAUUCCAGGUGUAGCGGUGAAAUGCGUAGAUAUCUGGAGGAAUACCGGUGGCGAAGGCGGCAUCCUGGACCGACAUUGACGCUGAGGAGCGAAAGCCAGGGGAGCAAACGGG